rnacentral:rRNA from 1 species
CAGUCGCCGCGGGAAUACGAAGGGGGCUAGCGUUGUUCGGAAUUACUGGGCGUAAAGCGCACGUAGGCGGAUAUUUAAGUCAGGGGUGAAAUCCCAGAGCUCAACUCUGGAACUGCCUUUGAUACUGGGUAUCUUGAGUAUGGAAGAGGUGAGUGGAAUUCCGAGUGUAGAGGUGAAAUUCGUAGAUAUUCGGAGGAACACCAGUGGCGAAGGCGGCUCACUGGUCCAUUACUGACGCUGAGGUGCGAAAGCGUGGGGAGCAAACAGGAUUAGAUACCCGGGUAGUCCCUGUCUCUUAUAC